GGUUCGAUUAUGGCUCAGAUUGAACGCUGGCGGGAUGCUUUACACAUGCAAGUCGAACGGCAGCACGGACUUCGGUCUGGUGGCGAGUGGCGAACGGGUGAGUAAUGGAACGUGCCUAGUAGCGGGGGAUAACUACGCGAAAGCGUAGCUAAUUACCGCAUACGCCUCAAAGAAAGCGGGGGACCCCGGGCCUCGCACUAUUAGAGCGGCCGAUAUCGGAUUAGCUAGUUGGUGGGGUAACGGCUCCACGGCGACGAUCCGUAGCUGGUUUGAGAGGACGACCAGCCACACUGGGACUGGGAGACACGGCCCAGACUCUACGGGAGGCAGCAGUGGGGAAUUUUGACAAUGGGAAACGCCCUGAUCCAGCCAUCCCGCGUGCGAUGAAGGCCUUCGGGUUCAAAGCACUUUUGGCGCAGGAAAGAAACGGCACGGGAUACCUGUGCAACUGACGGUACCUGCAGAAUAAGCACCGGCUAACUACGUGCCAGCAGUGCGGUAAUACGUAGGGUGCAAGCGUUGGAAUUACUGGGCGUAAAGCGUGCGCAGGCGGUUCGGAAAGAAAGAUGUGAAAUCCCAGAGCUUAACUUCUUUGGAACUGCAUUUUUAACUACCGAGCUAGAGUGUGUCAGAGGGAGUGGAAUUCCGCGUAGCAGUGAAAAUGCGCAGAUAUGCGGAGGAACACCGAUGGCGAAGGCUAACACUGACGCUCAUGCACGAAAGCGUGGGAGCAAACAGGAUUAGAUACCCUGGUAGUUCACGCCCUAAACGAUGUCAACUAGCUGUUGGGGCCUUCGGGCCUUGGUAGCGCAGCUAAUCGCGUGAAGUUGACGCCUGGGAGUACGGUCGCAAGAUUAAAACUCAAAGGAAUUGACGGGGACCGCACAAGCGGUGGAUGAUGUGGAUUAAUUCGAUGCAACGCGAAAAACCUUACCUACCCUUGACAUGUCUGGAAUCCCGAAGAGAUUUGGGAGUAUGCUCGCAAGAGAACCGGAACACAGGUGCUGCAUGGCUGUCGUCAGCUCGUGUCGUGAGAUGUUGGGUUAAGUCCCGCAACGAGCGCAACCCCUUGCCAUUAGUUGCCACGAAAGGGCACUCUAAUGAGACUGCCGGUGACAAACCGAUAGGGAUGACGUCAAGUCCUCAUGGCCCUUAUGGGUAGGGCUUCACACGUCAUACAAUGGUCGGGACAGAGGGUCGCCAACCCGCGAGGGGGAGCCAAUCCCAGAAACCUGAUCGUAGUCCGGAUCGCAGUCUGCAACUCGACUGCGUGAAGUCGGAAUCGCCAGUAAUCGCGGAUCAGCAUGUCGCGGUGAAUACGUUCCCGGUCUUGUACACCGCCCGUCACACCAUGGGAGUGGGUUUUACCAGUUAUAGUUAGCCCAACUGCAAGGAGGGCGAUUACCACGGUAGGAUUCAUGACUGGGGUGAAGUCGUAACAAGGCAA
rnacentral:rRNA from 1 species